rnacentral:rRNA from 1 species
GACCAUCUCCUAAGGCUAAAUACUCUCUAGUGACCGAUAGUGAACCAGUACCGUGAGGGAAAGGUGAAAAGUACCCCGGAAGGGGAGUGAAAGAGAACUUGAAACCGUGUGCUUACAAGUAGUCAGAGCCCGUUAAUGGGUGAUGGCGUGCCUUUUGUAGAAUGAACCGGCGAGUUACGAUCUGAUGCAAGGUUAAGCAGAAAAUGUGGAGCCGUAGCGAAAGCGAGUCUGAAUAGGGCGAAUGAGUAUUUGGUCGUAGACCCGAAACCAGGUGAUCUACCCUUGGUCAGGUUGAAGUUCAGGUAACACUGAAUGGAGGACCGAACCGACUUACGUUGAAAAGUGAGCGGAUGAACUGAGGGUAGCGGAGAAAUUCCAAUCGAACUUGGAGAUAGCUGGUUCUCUCCGAAAUAGCUUUAGGGCUAGCCUCAAGUGAUGAUUAUUGGAGGUAGAGCACUGUUUGGACGAGGGGCCCCUCUCGGGUUACCGAAUUCAGACAAACUCCGAAUGCCAAAUAAUUUAACUUGGGAGUCAGAAUGUGGGUGAUAAGGUCCAUAUUCGAAAGGGAAACAGCCCAGACCACCAGCUAAGGUCCCAAAAUAUAUGUUAAGUGGAAAAGGAUGUGGCGUUGCCCAGACAACUAGGAUGUUGGCUUAGAAGCAGCCAUCAUUUAAAGAGUGCGUAAUAGCUCACUAGUCGAGUGACACUGCGCCGAAAAUGUACCGGGGCUAAACAUAU